UACGAAGGGGGCUAGCGUUGUUCGGAAUCACUGGGCGUAAAGGGUGCGUAGGCGGGUCUUUAAGUCAGGGGUGAAAUCCUGGAGCUCAACUCCAGAACUGCCUUUGAUACUGAGGAUCUUGAGUUCGGGAGAGGUGAGUGGAACUGCGAGUGUAGAGGUGAAAUUCGUAGAUAUUCGCAAGAACACCAGUUGCGAAGGCGGCUGACUGGACACAUAUUGACGCUGAGGCUCGAAAGCAUGGGGAGCAAACAGG
rnacentral:rRNA from 1 species